rnacentral:piRNA from 1 species
UGAGCUAUACCUAAGGCUACUUGUUCUGGU